rnacentral:tRNA from 1 species
GCCUGGCUGGCUCAGUCGGUGGAGCAGGUGACUACUGAACUCAGGGUUGUGAGUUCGAGCCCCAUGCCGGGCU